UCGAGAAUCUUCCACAAUGGACGAAAGUCUGAUGGAGCGACGCCGCGUGAUUGAUGAAGUCCUUCGGGACGUAAAGAUCUUUUAUGAGGGAAGAAGUUUAUUGACGGUACCUCAUGAAUAAGGGGCUCCUAAUCUCGUGCCAGCAGGAGCGGUAAUACGAGAGCCCCGAGCGUUAUCCGGAAUUAUUGGGCGUAAAGGGUGCGUAGGCGGUUGUGUUAGUCGUAGGUCAAAGGCCCGGGCUUAACUCGGGAAAGGCACACGAAACGGCACGACUUAGAGAGGAGAAGAGGUGUGCGGAACUCAUGGUGUAGGGGUGAAAUCCGUUGAUAUCAUGGGGAACACCAAAUGCGAAAGCAGCACACUGGUCUCUUUCUGACGCUGAGGCACGAAAGCGUGGGUA
rnacentral:rRNA from 1 species